rnacentral:rRNA from 1 species
CGUGUAGGCGGGAAGGAAAGUCAGAUGUGAAAUCCCCAGGCUCAACCUGGGAACUGCAUUUGAAACUCCCUUUCUUGAGUAUCGGAGAGGAAAGCGGAAUUCCUGGUGUAGAGGUGAAAUUCGUAGAUAUCAGGAGGAACACCAGCGGCGAAGGCGGCUUUCUGGACGGUAACUGACGCUGAGACGCGAAAGCGUGGGGAGAAAC